CCAGACUCCUACGGGAGGCAGCAGUGGGGAAUAUUGCACAAUGGGCGGAAGCCUGAUGCAGCAACGCCGCGUGCGGGAUGACGGCCUUCGGGUUGUAAACCGCUUUCGCCUGUGACGAAGCGUGAGUGACGGUAAUGGGUAAAGAAGCACCGGCUAACUACGUGCCAGCAGCCGCGGUGAUACGUAGGGUGCGAGCGUUGUCCGGAUUUAUUGGGCGUAAAGGGCUCGUAGGUGGUUGAUCGCGUCGGAAGUGUAAUCUUGGGGCUUAACCCUGAGCGUGCUUUCGAUACGGGUUGACUUGAGGAAGGUAGGGGAGAAUGGAAUUCCUGGUGGAGCGGUGGAAUGCGCAGAUAUCAGGAGGAACACCAGUGGCGAAGGCGGUUCUCUGGGCCUUUCCUGACGCUGAGGAGCGAAAGCGUGGGGAGCGAACAGGCUUAGAUACCCUGGUAGUCCACGCUGUAAACGGUGGGUACUAGGUGUGGGGUCCAUUCCACGGGUUCCGUGCCGUAGCUAACGCUUUAAGUACCCCGCCUGGGGAGUACGGCCGCAAGGCUAAAACUCAAAGGAAUUGACGGGGGCCCGCACAG
rnacentral:rRNA from 1 species